rnacentral:rRNA from 1 species
CCUGGCUCAGGAUGAACGCUAGCUACAGGCUUAACACAUGCAAGUCGAGGGGCAUCAUGACGAUAGCUUGCUAUUGUUGAUGGCGACCGGCGCACGGGUGAGUAACGCGUAUCCAACCUUCCCCUUAGUAGGGCAUAGCCCGGCGAAAGUCGGAUUAAUACCCUAUGUUAUCCGAAGAUGACAUCUGACUUGGAUUAAAGAUUAAUCGCUAAGGGAUGGGGAUGCGUCCGAUUAGGUAGUCGGCGGGGUAACGGCCCACCGAGCCUUCGAUCGGUAGGGGUUCUGAGAGGAAGGUCCCCCACACUGGUACUGAGACACGGACCAGACUCCUACGGGAGGCAGCAGUGAGGAAUAUUGGUCAAUGGACGGGAGUCUGAACCAGCCAAAGUAGCGUGCAGGACGACGGCCCUAUGGGUUGUAAACUGCUUUUAUACGGGGAUAAAGUCGCCCACGUGUGGGUGUUUGUAGGUACCGUAUGAAUAAGGACCGGCUAAUUCCGUGCCAGCCGCGGC